rnacentral:rRNA from 1 species
AAGGUGACUGCCGGGCUAAAAAGUCGGAGGAAGGUGGGGGAUGACGUCAAAUCAUCAUGCCCCUUAUGACCUGGGCUACACACGUGCUACAAUGGGCGGUACAAAGGGUCGCGAACCCGCGAGGGGGAGCCAAUCCCAAAAAAGCCGCUCUCAGUUCGGAUUGCAGGCUGCAACUCGCCUGCAUGAAGCCGGAAUCGCUAGUAAUCGCGGAUCAGCAUGCCGCGGUGAAUACGUUCCCGGGCCUU